rnacentral:lncRNA from 1 species
GUGUGUAAGUUGUUUGUGCAUUCUUAACCCCGAAGUGCAUAACUUUGCAUUUCUCUAUGUUAAAUUUCAUCUGCCAUUUUAGUGCCCAGUCCCCCAAUCUAUCCAAAUCUCUCUGCAGCAAAGCAAUAUUCUGCUCACAUUUUAUUACUUUACAAAGUUUUGUGUCAUCUACAAACACUGAUACAUGGCUUUCAAUGCCUAUUUCAAGAUCAUUUAUAAAUAUAUUAAAUAGAAGUGGUCCCAAAACAGAACCCUGAGGGACACCACUUACCACUUUUGUCCAGCCUGAAAAUUUACCAUUAAUUACAACUCAUUGUACUCUAUCCUUAAGCCAAUGUUCUACCCAAGAACAAGAAUAUUCAUCUAGACCAAUUUCUUUUAGUUUGAAGACUAACCUAUUGUGAGGAACCGUAUCAAA